GGGACUGAUCGGUUUCUACAUAUUGAUUUAUAUAAACAAUUAUUUAAUGACUGGGUUUCUACUCUUAGAAUACCAAAUUUCAUGAAGUAGGCAUUUUACAUUUUUUAUUAAAUAAAGUAAUUGCAAAACACAAUAUAGUUGUUUUUUCUAAAAAAUACGCAUUAGCUUAGUAUGUUAGAAUUUUGGUUAAUAGUUUACACUAUAUUAUUCGAUAAAUCUUUGUGUUAGCUCUUUAUAGUUUUUAUGUUUUAAGUAAAGUAUUUAUAUAUCUUAAGAAUUAAAUAAAAAUAAUAUUUGGUUCGCAUACUUUCGUCAUUUAUUUGUUUUAUUGUUUAUACACAAUCAAUAUGGACGUGGGUUCAAUUCCCUCCAGUUCCA
rnacentral:tmRNA from 1 species